AACGAACGCUGGCGGCAGGCCUAACACAUGCAAGUCGAACGCUCCGGCAAUGGAGAGUGGCAGACGGGUGAGUAACACGUGGGAACCUUCCCUUUGGUUCGGAAUAGCCCAGGGAAACUUGGGGUAAUACCGGAUAAGCCCUUACGGGGAAAGAUUUAUCGCCGAAGGAUGGGCCCGCGUCGGAUUAGCUAGUUGGUGGGGUAACGGCCUACCAAGGCGACGAUCCGUAGCUGGUCUGAGAGGAUGAUCAGCCACACUGGGACUGAGACACGGCCCAGACUCCUACGGGAGGCAGCAGUGGGGAAUAUUGGACAAUGGGCGCAAGCCUGAUCCAGCCAUGCCGCGUGAGUGACGAAGGUCUUCGGAUUGUAAAGCUCUUUUGGCGGGGACGAUAAUGACGGUACCCGCAGAAUAAGCCCCGGCUAACUUCGUGCCAGCAGCCGCGGUAA
rnacentral:rRNA from 1 species